rnacentral:pre_miRNA from 1 species
AGGAACAACCGCAGUGGAGGCGGGCGGCCAGCUCUGGAGCCCUGGAGUCAGCUCCCCCAGUAACUCCAGAGCUCUCUGUCUGCAGGGCCUGGAGGCUCCAGGGCGGG